rnacentral:rRNA from 1 species
GUUCGCCUACGGGGGGCAGCAGUGGGGGAUAUUGCACAAUGGGGGAAACCCUGAUGCAGCGACGCCGCGUGGGUGAAGAAGCGCCUCGGCGCGUAAAGCCCUGUCAGCAGGGAAGAAAUUGACAGUACCUCAGGAGGAAGCUCCGGCUAACUAUGUGCCAGCAGCCGCGGUAAUACAUAGGGAGCAAGCGUUAUCCGGAUUUACUGGGUGUAAAGGGGGCGCAGACGGCGAUGCAAGCCAGGAGUGAAAGCCCGGGGCCCAACCCCGGGACUGCUCUUGGAACUGCGUGGCUGGAGUGCAGGAGG